AGUGAACGCUGGCGGUAGGCCUAACACAUGCAAGUCGAACGGCAGCACAGUAAGAGCUUGCUCUUACGGGUGGCGAGUGGCGGACGGGUGAGGAAUACAUCGGAAUCUACUUUUUCGUGGGGGAUAACGUAGGGAAACUUACGCUAAUACCGCAUACGACCUACGGGUGAAAGCAGGGGAUCUUCGGACCUUGCGCGAUUGAAUGAGCCGGUGUCGGAUUAGCUAGUUGGCGGGGUAGAGGCCCACCAAGGCGACGAUCCGUAGCUGGUCUGAGAGGGUGAACGGCCAGAUGGGGACUGAGAUAAGGACCAGACUGCUAAGGGAGGCAGAAGGGGGGAAUAUUGAACAAUGGGAGGAAGAAUGAUGAAGCAACGCCGAGUGAGGGAGGAAGGCCUUAGGGUUGCAAAAAGAUUUGGCCUGUGACGAAGCGUGAGUGACGGUCAUGGGUAAAGAAGAACCGGCUAAUUACGUG
rnacentral:rRNA from 1 species